GUCAUAACUGUGGUGACCAACGCCCCUUCCUCUGCUCCAGAGAUGUCAAACCUUCAGCCUCGAGGUCAGUGAAGGUUCAGCUGAGGGCGGGAUCUGCAGACCUGAACGACCCCACAGUGCAAGAAUCCAUCCUGCAGCAGGUGAGGGAGAAGCUGGUGGAGCAAGGGAUCAGAGAGGAGGUGAAGCUGAGGUGGAGGACGCAGCCUGAUGGGAAGAUUUUCCACAGAGAGGAGGAGACAGCCGGUGACAGUGAGGAGGAAGACUGUGGGUCGGUUUAGUCUGAACGUUAUUGGCUGAUGUUCCUCAGAUGAUCUGUUGUGUAAUUCAACUUAUUUCCGUCUCUGUACUCUGACUGCUGGACUGUAGCAGCGUAGCUUUGCAUGACUGACAGUUGGAAAUAAUCCUUCUUUAUCCUAAGCUCAGAUCACAGAGUGUCUGAUGAGCUGUUUUAUGCCUCUUUGUUUCUUCUGUGUCUCAGAUAUAAAUGUUCAUGAUAUCCUGUCUCUACAUAUGAAAGUUCAAGCGGAGAACAAAGUGAACCUGAGUGUUCAGAGCAGCCUGAUGUCUGAGCUUUUUGACUUCAUACAUCAUAUUUCAAAUGAGCACCCAGCAAUAUAACAGUAGAUAUGCCGUAUAUGUCAG